rnacentral:rRNA from 1 species
UUGGGCUUCGGCCCAUAGUAAAGUGGCGGACGGGUGAGUAACACGUGGAUAAUCUGCCCUUCGGCGGGGGACAACAGUCCGAAAGGAUUGCUAAUACCGCAUUCGUCAACAAGGUCUUCGGACCUUGUUGGGAAAGAUGGCCUCUUCAUGAAAGCUAUCACCGAAGGAUGAGUCCGCGUCCCAUCAGCUAGUUGGCGGGGUAAUGGCCCACCAAGGCUAAGACGGGUAGCUGGUCUGAGAGGAUGAUCAGCCACACUGGAACUGAGACACGGUCCAGACUCCUACGGGAGGCAGCAGUGGGGAAUAUUGGGCAAUGGGCGCAAGCCUGACCCAGCCAUGCCGCGUGAGUGAUGAAGGCCUUCGGG